rnacentral:rRNA from 1 species
AGUGAACGCUGGCGGUAGGCCUAACACAUGCAAGUCGAACGGCAGCACCGUAAGAGCUUGCUCUUACGGGUGGCGAGUGGCGGACGGGUGAGGAAUACAUCGGAAUCUACUUUUUCGUGGGGGAUCACGUAGGGAAACUUACGCUAAUACCGCAUACCACCUACGGGUGAAAGCAGGGGAUCUUCGGACCUUGCGCGAUUGAAUGAGCCGAUGUCGGAUUAGCUAGUUGGCGGGGUAAGGGCCCACCAAGGCGACGAUCCGUAGCUGGUCUGAGAGGAUGAUCAGCCACACUGGAACUGAGACACGGUCCAGACUCCUACGGGAGGCAGCAGUGGGGAAUAUUGGACAAAGGGCGCAAGCCUGAUCCAGCCAUACCGCGUGGGUGAAGAAGGCCUUCGGGUUGUAAAGCCCUUUUGUUGGGAAAGAAAAGCAGCAGGUUAAUACCCCGCUGUUCUGACGGUACCCAAAGAAUAAGCACCGGCUAACUUCGUG